AAGUCGUAACAAGGUUUCCGUAGGUGAACCUGCGGAAGGAUCAUUAAUGAGAUAGGGUCCCUGUGGCCCGAACCUCCAACCCCAUGAGUACCUACCACCGUUGCUUUGGCAUGGCAUGCGUUCCCCCCGGGGGGCGCCGUCCCCGACGUGCUCGUCUGUGCCUGCCGGAGUCACCAAUCAACCCCCUUAAUGAUAUAGUCUGAGUGGAAAUUAAUAGCUAAAAACUUUCAACAACGGAUCUCUUGGUUCUGGCAUCGAUGGAGAACGCAGCGAAAUGCGAUAAGUAAUGUGAAUUGCAGAAUUCAGUGAAUCAUCGAAUCUUUGAACGCACAUUGCGCCCUCUGGUAUUCCGGGGGGCAUGCCUGUUCGAGCGUCAUAACAACCCUCAAGCCCAGCUUGGUAUUGGAGCUCGCCCCCCCGGGGGCGUCCCCGAAAAAUAGCGGCGGUGCCACCGGGCCUCGAGCGUAGUAACUAACUUUCGCUUCGAUGGCCUCGGGGGAACCUGCCGGACAACAGCCCCAUUUCAAGUAUUGACCUCGGAUCAGGUAGGGAUACCCGCUGAACUUAAGCAUAUCAAUAAGCGGAGGAAAAGAAACCAACAGGGAUUGCCUCAGUAACGGCGAGUGAAGCGGCAACAGCUCAAAUUUGAAAUCUGGCCGCAAGGUCCGAGUUGUAAUUUGUAGAGGGAGUCUCGGGCGCGACACCGGUCUAAGUCCUUUGGAACAGGGCGUCACAGAGGGUGAGAAUCCCGUACGUGACCGGCCGUCAAGUCCAUGUGAGACCCCUUCGACGAGUCGAGUUGUUUGGGAAUGCAGCUCAAAAUGGGUGGUAAAUUUCAUCUAAAGCUAAAUAUUGGCCAGAGACCGAUAGCGCACAAGUAGAGUGAUCGAAAGAUGAAAAGCACUUUGGAAAGAGAGUUAAACAGUACGUGAAAUUGUUGAAAGGGAAGCGCUUGCAGCCAGACUUGCCCGCGGGUGAUCAGCCGUCCCUCGGGGCGGUGCACUCUCCCGCGGUCAGGCCAGCAUCGGUUUUGGCGGCCGGACAAAGGCCUUGGGAACGUAGCUCCCCCCGGGGAGUGUUAUAGCCCAGGGUGCAAUGCGGCCAGCUGGGACCGAGGACCGCGCUUUUUGCUAGGAUGCUGGCGUAAUGGCUGUCAGCGACC
rnacentral:rRNA from 1 species